rnacentral:rRNA from 1 species
AGUGAACGCUGGCGGUAGGCCUAACACAUGCAAGUCGAACGGCAGCACAGUAAGAGCUUGCUCUUACGGGUGGCGAGUGGCGGACGGGCGAGGAAUACAUCGGAAUCUACUUUUUCGUGGGGGAUAACGUAGGGAAACUUACGCUAAUACCGCAUACGACCUACGGGUGAAAGCAGGGGAUCUUCGGACCUUGCGCGAUUGGAUGAGCCGAUGUCGGAUUAGCUAGUUGGCGGGGUAAAGGCCCACCAAGGCGACGAUCCGUAGCUGGUCUGAGAGGAUGAUCAGCCACACUGGAACUGAGACACGGUCCAGACUCCUACGGGAGGCAGCAGUGGGGAAUAUUGGACAAUGGGCGCAAGCCUGAUCCAGCCAUACCGCGUGGGUGAAGAAGGCCUUCGGGUUGUAAAGCCCUUUUGUUGGGAAAGAAAAGCAGCAGGUUAAUACCCCGCUGUUCUGACGGUACCCAAAGAAUAAGCACCGGCUAACUUCGUG